rnacentral:lncRNA from 1 species
UGCCUUAACACAUGACUAAAGCAAUGGGGCCAGCUGGUCAUGGCCCCACUGAAACUUCCUACACUGUGAACCAAAAACAAUUUUUCUCUUUAUAAGUUAAUUAUCUCAGGUUUUUUUUUAUAGUGAUGGGAAGCUAACACUUUGAAUGAAGUGAGAGCUCAACUACAUGAAUGAUGAGGAAAUAUAAGGAUGGAUUUGCCCCCACCCCAAUUCUUUUUAAAAAGUUGUUUUUGUUUUCCUUGUGCUGUUAUUUUUUUAACAGAGAACAUAAGUUUCUGGUCAACAAAGUCCACGCUCAACUCUUUCACCAAACACAGCACAAGCCAGAGCAUGUCAGCGAGGGGAUGCUGUGACACAGGACUGUGGCUGCCGUCCUAAACAAACCAGGCUGGCAACACCAGAGUGUUCUGCUGACACCCUGCCCUAGCCUGUGUUCUCUAGAACAUCCCCUUUUCUUACAUUUCCACUCCAGAAAAAACCGUCCAGGAGAGCCCUGAGCCUGAGGUUGGCACUGUGUGCUGUCAGCAGAGACCAAUCUGUCAGCAAGUCUCCUGGACCUGACCCUUGGAGUCAGGAAUGUUCUUCCGAUAAGGAGCUGAGUGGAAUGCAGGCACUCAGUCAGUUACCAGGGACAGCUUUUAUCGUGUGGCGGGGCAUGGGCAGGCAUGUAGCUCACACAGCUCCUUGGGAACUCAGAAAACAGUGAUGACGCUGAACACAGGGGAAGAAUGUACCCAUGGUGCUUUUUCUAAGUACCUUUGACCUUCAAGUGUAAACAACCACUUCUGUCCCUGCCUCACUACUCCGCCUGAGUAUGACCUCUCGGGAGACAGCUCACCUAACAGUUUUAUU